GAAAAGGCUGAGGGGGGCCUGGUGGUGGAGCACCUGGUUGAGCACACACGUUACAAUGCACAAGGUCGGGGGUUCGAGCCUCUGGACCCCACCUGCAGGGAGAAAGUUUUGCAAGUGGUGAAGGAAUGCUGCAGGUGUCUCUGUCUCUCUCCCUCUCUAUCUUCCCUGUCGAUUUCUAUCCAACAAAUAAGGAUAAU